CUUUCGUACAUAUCUUUGCUGUCUAGAUUUUGUUUGGACUAUUUUUUAACUCGUUAGACUCCAUUCGUUGUUCUGAACCUCGCUAUGGGCUCAAUAUAGAUCGAAUUUCGAGGUAUCAAAUCUCAAUACUCACUUUUAAAAUUGAAAUAAUUCUUUAGCUCAAUUAUGAUAAAGUCGAUAACAAUUUUCUUGGACUCAAUCUG
rnacentral:lncRNA from 1 species